GUCUCGUGUGUGAACGUUUCUUCGAGAUUUCGAUACCAAUAUGGCUGCCUCUGAGGUGUUAACCACGGAAGAACAAAAACAAAACUGUCACUGAAUUUGUGGUAAAAUCUAAGGAAUGCCAGACAUCCGGUGAAGGAGAUGAUAAAGGAAGGUGAAAUGAUUUCUAGGCAUGGUACAAAACACGGGUAACGGAUAACCGGAUAGCCGGAUAACCGGUACUCUAGCAACUGAUCAUUGAUAAGUAUCAAUGUUCGAUAUCGAAAUAAAGAUUAUGGACAACAUUUCUAGUCUGAACGGUAAAUUAGCUUGUCCUUAAGUCUUACGCGCUAUAGAAUAUUAUCUCCAUAUUCAUUUAAAAGUGUUAAGUAAAAGUUAAGUUUGGGUUGAGUAAAAAACAAAUUCCGAAUAAACACGAGAGUGUAAAUUUUCGACUUUAUUGCAAAGUCAUCUUAAGACAGAAUAAAAUACAAUACUUUAAAAUGCAAAUAUAUACAAAACAGAGAAAGAGCAUAAAGAGAAAAUUGUAGAAUAGAUGUAAUAGAAAGGUUUGUUAUGUUUGAUUAGGAGUGCUUCAAGAAAGGCGAGAAUAUGACACUGAAUAUCUCACCUCAAUUAUGCAUACCUGUUGUCUUAUGCACUUGUUUGUGUGAUACUUUCGUCAUAUUACAAGCUCACAGAUUUCGACAUGCAACUAGACUGCAGAUGAAAGUUCAUUUAUAUUACUUUUCAUCCUUUUUACUUUUUGCUGAGUUUGAGGUCGAGCACAGUCUGCUUACCUUUGACUACGUUAAGAUUCAAGAUUUUUUUAAUGCAGUGAAGACACUGAAAGACAUCUAGAUUCAAAAAUGUAAAUAGAUAUUCUAGUUAUAGAAAUUAAAGUUCCUGUUGAUCUUAAUCUGAUUUACGUUCAGACUAAAAAUUAUGUCCAUAAUCUUUAUUUCGAUAUCGAACAUUGAUAUUUAUCAAUGAUCAGUUACUAGAGUACCGGCAAUCCGGUUAUCUGUUACAGCUGUGUUUUCUACCAUGCCUGAUUUCUAAGCCAUUUGAAUUUAAAGAUAAAGUGCAGGGGGAACUUUUUGAACUAUUACAGUACCUUUCACACUCUGAAAUGCAAGCACUGUCGUCUUGUCAUCGGCCGAAUGUACAACACCACACCAAAGAAACUAGACUGCAUUAGAGAUAUGUAUACACUAAACUGGAGCAAAGUUAAAAGUUACCAACUUGGACAGUGCACAAACACAAGCAUGAAGCCGGAUAUACAAGAUGCAAGAUUAAUAUCGUAUUCAUUGUUACUCAAUUUGAAUGAAAGAAUUACGAAGCUUGAGGGUUUAGUUGAAGAGGUCAUUGAAGAAGAAUCUGAAAACAGGCAUGAUGCUAAUCAAUGUGAUAAAAAAAGAAAAACUACAUGAACCAUUUGCAGAACAACAUUUUGAUGU